GCAGUCGAGCGAACAUCUUGCGGAAGCCUUCGGGUGGAAGCAAGAUUGACUGAGCGGCGGAUGGGUGAGUAACGCGUGGGUGACCUGCCUCAUACAGGGGGAUAACAGUUAGAAAUGACUACUAAUACCGCAUAAGCGCACAGUGCUGCAUGGCACAGUGUGAAAAACUCCGGUGGUAUGAGAUGGACCCGCGUCUGAUUAGGUAGUUGGUGGGGUAACGGCCCACCAAGCCGACGAUCAGUAGCCGACCUGAGAGGGUGACCGGCCACAUUGGGACUGAGACACGGCCCAAACUCCUACGGGAGGCAGCAGUGGGGAAUAUUGGACAAUGGGGGAAACCCUGAUCCAGCGACGCCGCGUGACUGAAGAAGUAUUUCGGUAUGUAAAGGUCUAUCAGCAGGGAAGAAAAUGACGGUACCUGACUAAGAAGCCCCGGCUAACUACGUGCCAGCAGCCGCGGUAAUACGUAGGGGGCAAGCGUUAUCCGGAUUUACUGGGUGUAAAGGGAGCGUAGACGGCGAUGCAAGUCUGGAGUGAAAGCCCGGGGCUCAACCCCGGGACUGCUUUGGAAACUGUGUUGCUAGAGUGCAGGAGAGGUAAGUGGAAUUCCUAGUGUAGCGGUGAAAUGCGUAGAUAUUAGGAGGAACACCAGUGGCGAAGGCGGCUUACUGGACUGUAACUGACGUUGAGGCUCGGAGGCGUGGGGAGCAAACAGGAUUAGAUACCCUGGUAGUCCGCGCCGUAAACGAUGAAUACUAGGUGUUGGGGAGCAAAGCUCUUCGGUGCCGUCGCAAACGCAGUAAGUAUUCCACCUGGGGAGUACGUUCGCAAGAAUGAAACUCAAAGGAAUUGACGGGGACCCGCACAAGCGGUGGAGCAUGUGGUUUAAUUCGAAGCAACGCGAAGAACCUUACCAAGUCUUGACAUCGGAAUGACCGGUCCGUAACGGGGCCUUCCCUUCGGGGCAUUCCAGACAGGUGGUGCAUGGUUGUCGUCAGCUCGUGUCGUGAGAUGUUGGGUUAAGUCCCGCAACGAGCGCAACCCUUAUCCUUAGUAGCCAGCAGGUAGAGCUGGGCACUCUGGGGAGACUGCCAGGGAUAACCUGGAGGAAGGUGGGGAUGACGUCAAAUCAUCAUGCCCCUUAUGAUUUGGGCUACACACGUGCUACAAUGGCGUAAACAAAGGGAAGCGAAGCCGUGAGGUGAAGCAAAUCCCAAAAAUAACGUCUCAGUUCGGAUUGUAGUCUGCAACUCGACUACAUGAAGCUGAAUCGC
rnacentral:rRNA from 1 species